rfam:Candidatus Daviesbacteria bacterium RIFCSPHIGHO2_01_FTLL_41_23 rifcsphigho2_01_scaffold_46535, whole genome shotgun sequence.
CUCGGUGAUUAGUGCGGCAUGGUCCCAUCCCUUCCCAUCCCGAACAGGGUCAUGAAACGUGCCAGCGGGGACGAUAAUUCCGGCGCAAGCCGGAGUGAAAAUACCUCAUUGCCGGGA